GAGUUUGAUCAUGGCUCAGGAUGAACGCUAGCGGCAGGCCUAACACAUGCAAGUCGAGGGAGAAGCCCUUCGGGGCAGAAACCGGCGCACGGGUGCGUAACGCGUAUGCAACCUACCUUUCACAGGGGGAUAGCCCGGAGAAAUUUGGAUUAAUAUCCCAUAAUAUUGUUGGAUGGCAUCAUUUGGCAAUUAAAGUUACGAUGGCGGAAGAUGGGCAUGCGUCCUAUUAGCUAGUUGGCGAGGUAACGGCUCGCCAAGGCGACGAUAGGUAGGGGUCCUGAGAGGGAGAUCCCCCACACUGGUACUGAGACAGGGACCAGACUCCUACGGGAGGCAGCAGUGAGGAAUAUUGGUCAAUGGUCGGAAGACUGAACCAGCCAUGCCGCGUGCAGGAAGGCGGCCUUAUGGGUUGUAAACUGCUUUUAUAUGGGAAGAAUAAGGGGUACGUGUACUUUGAUGACGGUACCAUAUGAAUAAGCAUCGGCUAACUCCGUGCCAGCAGCCGCGGUAAUACGGAGGAUGCGAGCGUUAUUCGGAAUCAUUGGGUUUAAAGGGUCUGUAGGCGGGCUAUUAAGUCAGGGGUGAAAUAUUUCAGCUUAACUGGGAAAUUGCCUUUGAUACUGGUAGUCUUGAAUAUUUGUGAAGUUUUUGGAAUGUGUAGUGUAGCGGUGAAAUGCAUAGAUAUUACACAGAACACCGAUUGCGGAGGCAGGGGACUAACAAAUAAUUGACGCUGAGAGACGAGAGCGUGGGGAGCGAACAGGAUUAGAUACCCUGGUAGUCCACGCUGUAAACGAUGGAUACUAGCUGUUUGGUAGGAAUAUUGAGUGGCUAAGCGAAAGUGAUAAGUAUCCCACCUGGGGAGUACGCACGCAAGUGUGAAACUCAAAGGAAUUGACGGGGGCCCGCACAAGCGGUGGAGCAUGUGGUUUAAUUCGAUGAUACGCGAGGAACCUUACCAAGGUUUAAAUGGUGACUGACGUACCUAGAGAUGGGUAUUUCUUCGGACAGUUAUCAAGGUGCUGCAUGGUUGUCGUCAGCUCGUGCCGUGAGGUGUCAGGUUAAGUCCUAUAACGAGCGCAACCCCUAUUGAUAGUUACCAGCACGUAAAGGUGGGGACUCUAUUGAGACUGCCGGUGUAAACCGUGAGGAAGGUGGGGAUGACGUCGAAAUCGAUCGCGGCCCUUACUUCUUGGGCUACGCGCGUGCUACGAUGGUCGUUACGGAGAGCGGCUACUGCGUGAGCGGGUGCGAUGCUUAAAAGAACGGUCGCGGUUUCGAUUCGGAGUCUGCGGACUCGAACUCCGUGAGACUGAAUCGCGUAGGAUCGCGGUCGGACCGUGUAUGCGGUGAAUGACGUUCUCGGGCC
rnacentral:rRNA from 1 species